rnacentral:rRNA from 1 species
GGACCAAGGAGUCUAGCAUGUGCGCGAGUCAUUGGGUUCAUAUAUUAUACCUAAAGGCGAAAUGAAAGUGAAUGUUUACCUUGCGUAAACAGAGGGAAGAUGGGUGACUAAAUAGAAAGUUGCCCCGCAUUCCCGGGGCGUCGCGCACUCAUUGCGAGGUGCGGCGCACCAAGAGCGUACACGCUGGGACCC